rnacentral:rRNA from 1 species
GACGAACGCUGGCGGCGUGCUUAACACAUGCAAGUCGAACGGUGAAGCCCCAGCUUGCUGGAGUGGAUCAGUGGCGAACGGGUGAGUAACACGUGAGCAACCUGCCCCUGACUCUGGAAUAAGCGCUGGAAACGGCGUCUAAUACUGGAUACGAGAAGGGUCCGCAUGGGCACCUUCUGGAAAGUUUUUCGGUUGGGGAUGGGCUCGCGGCCUAUCAGCUUGUUGGUGAGGUAAUGGCUCACCAAGGCGACGACGGGUAGCCGGCCUGAGAGGGCGACCGGCCACACUGGGACUGAGACACGGCCCAGACUCCUACGGGAGGCAGCAGUGGGGAAUAUUGCACAAUGGGCGAAAGCCUGAUGCAGCGACGCCGCGUGAGGGAUGACGGCCUUCGGGUUGUAAACCUCUUUCAGCAGGGAAGAAGCGAAAGUGACGGUACCUGCAGAAGAAGCACCGGCUAACUACGUG